AACGAACGCUGGCGGCGUGGAUAAGACAUGCAAGUCGAACGGGAACUUCAGCUGUAGCAAUACAGUUGAAGUUUUAGUGGCGAACGGGUGCGUAACACGUGGGCAAUCUGCCGAGAAGUGGGGGAGUAGCUCGCCGAAAGGACGAAUUAAUACCGCAUAUGAUCAGCUAAGACAUCUUAGCGACAUCAAAGACCGGGGCGAACCUGGCGCUUUUGUAGGAGCCCGCCGGCCUAUCAGCUAGUUGGUGAGGUAACGGCUCACCAAGGCUAUGACGGGUAGCUGGUCUGAGAGGACGACCA
rnacentral:rRNA from 1 species